GAAAUGCGAUAAGUAAUGUGAAUUGCAGAAUUCAGUGAAUCAUCGAAUCUUUGAACGCACCUUGCGCUCCUUGGUAUUCCUUGGAGCAUGCCUGUUUGAGUAUCAUGAAAUCUUCAAAGUAAAUCUUUUGUUAACUCAAUUGGUUUCUACUUUGGUAUUGGAGGUCUUUGCAGCUUCACACCUGCUCCUCUUUGUUCAUUAGCUGGAUCUCAGUGUUAUGCUUGGUUCCACUCGGCGUGAUAAGUUAUCUAUCGCUGAGGACACUGUAUAAGGUGGCCAAGGUAAAUGCAGAUGAACCGCUUCUAAUAGUCCAUUGACUUGGACAAUACUUUUAUGAUCUGAUCUCAAAUCAGGUAGGACUACCCGCUGAACUUAAGC
rnacentral:misc_RNA from 1 species